GACGAACGCUGGCGGCGUGCUUAACACAUGCAAGUCGAACGAAGAGCGAUGGAAGCUUGCUUCUCUCAAUCUUAGUGGCGAACGGGUGAGUAACGCGUAAUCAACCUGCCCUUCAGAGGGGGACAACAGUUGGAAACGACUGCUAAUACCGCAUACGAUCUAAUCUCGGCAUCGAGGAUAGAUGAAAGGUGGCCUCUACAUGUAAGCUAUCACUGAAGGAGGGGAUUGCGUCUGAUUAGCUAGUUGGAGGGGUAACGGCCCACCAAGGCGAUGAUCAGUAGCCGGUCUGAGAGGAUGAACGGCCACAUUGGGACUGAGACACGGCCCAGACUCCUACGGGAGGCAGCAGUGGGGAAUCUUCCGCAAUGGACGAAAGUCUGACGGAGCAACGCCGCGUGAGUGAUGACGGCCGUCGGGUUGUAAAGCUCUGUUAAUCGGGACGAAAGGCCUUCUUGCGAAUAGUGAGAAGGAUUGACGGUACCGGAAGAGAAAGCCACGGCUAACUACGUG
rnacentral:rRNA from 1 species